rnacentral:rRNA from 1 species
AGCCAGCGCCUGAGGAUGAGCCUGCGUCUCAUUAGCUAGUUGGUAGGGUAAUGGCCUACCAAGGCGACGAUGGGUAGCCGGCCUGAGAGGGUGAGCGGCCACACUGGGACUGAGAUACGGCCCAGACUCCUACGGGAGGCAGCAGUGAGGAAUAUUGCGCAAUGGCCGAAAGGUUGACGCAGCGACGCCGCGUGAGGGAUGAAGCUUUUAGGAGUGUAAACCUCUGUUAGGAGGGAAGAAUAAUGGCAAUUCGAACAGGGUUGUCAGAUGACGGUACCUCCAGAGGAAGCCCCGGCUAACUCCGUGCCAGCAGCCGCGGUAAUACGGGGGGGGCUAGCGUUGUCCGGAAUUACUGGGCGUAAAGGGCGCGUAGGCGGGAUAGCAAGUCAGUGGUGCAAACUUGAGGCUUAACUUCAAGCUUGCCAUUGAUACUGUUAUUCUUGAGUUCGGCAGAGGGAAGUGGAAUUCCUGGUGUAGCGGUGAAAUGCGUAGAUAUCAGGAAGAACACCGGUGGCGAAGGCGGCUUCCUGGUCCGAUACUGACGCUGAGGCGCGAAAGCGUGGGGAGCGAACAGGAUUAGAUACCCUGGUAGUCCACGCUGUAAACGAUGGGUACUAGGUGUUGGUUGUAAUGAUCAGCGCCGGAGCAAACGCAUUAAGUACCCCGCCUGGGGAAUACGGUCGCAAGACUGAAACUCAAAGGAAUUGACGGGGGCCCGCACAAGCGGUGGAGCAUGUGGUUUAAUUCGAUGCAACGCGAAGAACCUUACCUGGGCUUGAACUGCAGGUGCUAUCUCCUGAAAGGGAGUUUCCUUCGGGACGCCUGUAGGGGUGCUGCAUGGCUGUCGUCAGCUCGUGCUGUGAGGUGUUGGGUUAAGUCCCGCAACGAGCGCAACCCCUGUCCCUAGUUGCCAUCAGGUCAAGCUGGGAACUCUAGGGGGACUGCCCCGGAUAACGGGGAGGAAGGUGGGGAUGACGUCAAGUCAUCAUGGCCCUUACGUCCAGGGCUACGCACGUGCUACAAUGGCCGGUACAACGGGUAGCGAGGCAGCGAUGUGGAGCAAAUCCCUUAAAACCGGUCUCAGUUCAGAUUGCAGUCUG